GCCAGUGUGGUGUAGUGGUUUGAGCAUUGGACUAUGACUCUGGAGACCAGGGUUUGAAUCCCAGGUUGGCC